rnacentral:rRNA from 1 species
UCGGGGUACUCGAGUGGCGAACGGGUGAGUAACACGUGGGUGAUCUGCCCUGCACUGUUGGGAUAAGCCUGGGAAACUGGGUCUAAUCCCGAAUAGACCACGCGCUUCAUGGUGUGUGGUGGAAAGCUUUUGCGGUGUGGGAUGGGCCCGCGGCCUAUCAGCUUGUUGGUGGGGUAAUGGCCUACCAAGGCGACGACGGGUAGCCGGCCUGAGAGGGUGACCGGCCACACUGGGACUGAGAUACGGCCCAGACUCCUACGGGAGGCAGCAGUGGGGAAUAUUGCACAAUGGGCGCAAGCCUGAUGCAGCGACGCCGCGUGAGGGAUGACGGCCUUCGGGUUGUAAACCUCUUUCAAUAGGGACGAAGCGCAAGUGACGGUACCUAUAGAAGAAGCACCGGCCAACUACGUGCCAGCAGCCGCGGUAAUACGUAGGGUGCGAGCGUUGUCCGGAAUUACUGGGCGUAAAGAGCUCGUAGGUGGUUUGUCGCGUUGUUCGUGAAAACUCACAGCUUAACUGUGGGCGUGCGGGCGAUACGGGCAGACUAGAGUACUGCAGGGGAGACUGGAAUUCCUGGUGUAGCGGUGGAAUGCGCAGAUAUCAGGAGGAACACCGGUGGCGAAGGCGGGUCUCUGGGCAGUAACUGACGCUGAGGAGCGAAAGCGUGGGGAGCGAACAGGAUUAGAUACCCUGGUAGUCCACGCCGUAAACGGUGGGUACUAGGUGUGGGUUCCUUCCUUGGGAUCCGUGCCGUAGCUAACGCAUUAAGUACCCCGCCUGGGGAGUACGGCCGCAAGGCUAAAACUCAAAGGAAUUGACGGGGGCCCGCACAAGCGGCGGAGCAUGUGGAUUAAUUCGAUGCAACGCGAAGAACCUUACCUGGGUUUGACAUGCACAGGACGCCGGCAGAGAUGUCGGUUCCCUUGUGGCCUGUGUGCAGGUGGUGCAUGGCUGUCGUCAGCUCGUGUCGUGAGAUGUUGGGUUAAGUCCCGCAACGAGCGCAACCCUUGUCCUAUGUUGCCAGCGGGUUAUGCCGGGGACUCGUAGGAGACUGCCGGGGUCAACUCGGAGGAAGGUGGGGAUGACGUCAAGUCAUCAUGCCCCUUAUGUCCAGGGCUUCACACAUGCUACAAUGGCCGGUACAAAGGGCUGCGAUGCCGUGAGGUGGAGCGAAUCCUUUCAAAGCCGGUCUCAGUUCGGAUCGGGGUCUGCAACUCGACCCCGUGAAGUCGGAGUCGCUAGUAAUCGCAGAUCAGCAACGCUGCGGUGAAUACGUUCCCGGGCCUUGUACACACCGCCCGUCACGUCAUGAAAGUCGGUAACACCCGAAGCC